rnacentral:rRNA from 1 species
UACGAAGGGGGCUAGCGUUGUUCGGAAUUACUGGGCGUAAAGGGCGCGUAGGCGGCGUGUCAAGUCAGGCGUGAAAGCCCCGGGCUCAACCUGGGAACCGCGCUUGAGACUGGCAUGCUCGAGUUCGGGAGAGGAUGGUGGAAUUCCCAGUGUAGAGGUGAAAUUCGUAGAUAUUGGGAAGCACACCGAUGGCGAAGGCAGCCAUCUGGACCGACACUGACGCUGAGGCGCGAAAGCGUGGGGAGCAAACAGG